GGGGUUACAGCUCAGUGGUAGAGUGUGUGUUUAGCAUGCACAAGGUCCUGGGUUCAAUACCCAGCACCUCCA
rnacentral:tRNA from 1 species